rnacentral:rRNA from 1 species
GACGAACGCUGGCGGCGUGCUUAACACAUGCAAGUCGAACGGCAAGGCCCUGCUUUUGUGGGGUGCUCGAGUGGCGAACGGGUGAGUAACACGUGAGUAACCUGCCCUUGUCUUUGGGAUAACUUCAGGAAACUGGGGCUACUACCGGAUAGGAGCUCCUGCUGCAUGGUGGGGGUUGGAAAGUUUCGGCGGUUGGGGAUGGACUCGCGGCUUAUCAGCUUGUUGGUGGGGUAGUUGCUUACCAAGGCUUUGACGGGUAGGCGGCCUGAGAGGGUGACCGGCCACAUUGGGACUGAGAUACGGCCCAGAGUCCUACGGGAGGCAGCAGUGGGGAAUAUUGCACAAUGGGCGGAAGCCGGAUGCAGCAACGCCGCGUGCGGGAUGACGGCCUUCGGGUUGUGAACCGCUUUCGCCUGUGACGAAGCGUGAGUGACGGUAAUGGGUAAAGAAGCACCGGCUAACUACGUG